rnacentral:rRNA from 1 species
UACGUAGGCAGCAAGCGUUGUUCGGAAUUACUGGGCGUAAAGAGUGUGUAGGCGGUGCUCUAAGUUCGGUGUGAAAUCUCCCGGCUCAACUGGGAGGGUGCGCCGAAAACUGGAGUGCUGGAGCGCGGGAGAGGAAAGCGGAAUUCCUGGUGUAGCGGUGAAAUGCGCAGAUAUCAGGAGGAGCACCAAUUGCGAAGGCAGCUCGCUGGGACGUUACUGACGCUGAGACGCGAAAGCGUGGGGAGCAAACAGG